UCAAAUCAAUCAAGGUUUUCA
rnacentral:piRNA from 1 species